rnacentral:misc_RNA from 1 species
GUGUUCCGGUUUAGGUCUAAAAAUUUAUCAAUCUAACCGCUCUUGAAAUGACAAUAUUUUUGAGGAUUUUCUCAACUUUAUAAAAAAAAUCAUGGAAGAUCUACCAAGAAGAAAAGAAAAUAAGAAGCUGUACAAUGCGUCGACCAAAACCCUCCAGAUAGACCCGCAGGUCCGGCGUCCAGUAGAAAAUGUCAGUUCUAAGAUCCAGGGCAGCCUCAAAGGCAAGGAGGCGUCAGAGAACAGGGAGACGAGGAAGAACCGCCAGAACAGACAGGAGUGGGGGAAGUUUGAAGGCGUGUACUACAAAGAUUUACAAACGGACAGCAAAGUCCAAAAGGACUUCAUGCUGGAAAUGGCCAAGCUGCUGAACACUUACAUGACGGACCAGUGUCAGGGUAAGGUUAAGGUGGUCGACUUCCACCACCCCCACCAGCUGCAGGAGAUGAUGGGUGACUGCCUAACCGUGGACGCUAUCCCUCGGGAUCUGCACCAGGUGCUGAGUGACUGCAAGGAGACGCUCAAGUACUGCGUGAAAACAGGACAUCCCCAUUUUCUGAACCAGCUGUCGACGGGUCUUGACCCAGUGGGCGUGGCGGGGGAGUGGCUGACAGCCGCCGUCAACACGAACAUGUUUACGUUUGAAGUGGGAUCCGUGUUUGUGCUGAUGGAGGACAUCAUAUUACGUAAGAUGCGUUCCUUCAUUGGUUGGAAGGAAGACGGAGACGGUAUCUUUACACCCGGUGGAACGAUUUCCAAUAUAUAUGCUUUGAUGUUAGCAAGACACAGAAAGUUCCCCAACAUAAAGGAAGAAGGGAUGUACUGUGGACAGAAAAUGGUUGUCUAUACUUCCGCCCAGAGCCAUUUCUCUAUAAAGAAAGCAGCGAUCAUAUUAGGAAUUGGAAUGAACAAUGUUUGCUGUAUUCCCUGUGACGAAAGGGGUAAAAUGAAGGUUGAUGUCCUGGAGCGUGAGAUACAGCGGACUCUGUCUGAUGGUGGGGUCCCUCUGAUGGUGAAUGCUACUUGUGGGACCACUGUCCUAGCGGCCUACGAUCCUGUUGAUAAGAUAGCAGACAUAUGUCAGAAAAACGGAAUAUGGCUGCAUGUGGAUGGCGCAUGGGGAGGCUCAGCAUUGUUGUCAAAGAAAUACAAGUACCUGCUUCAAGGAGUUGAAAGGGUGAAUUGCAGAGUGCCAAUGCGCUAUGUGCGGAUUACCUCUACCAGACGGACAAAUUCUAUGACGUCACGUACGACACUGGUGACAAAUCCAUCCAGUGCGGACGACAUAAUGACGUGUUCAAACUAUGGCUGAUGUGGAGAUCCAAAGGCGACAAUGGAUUUGAAGACUCAAUCAACAAAAUAUUUCACCUGUCUCGAUAUCUUGAAGAAAAAGUUAAGCAACGGGAAAAUUUUACAUUGGUAACAAAUGAGGUUGAAGGCCCCAGCGUGAGUUUUUGGUAUGAGCCACCACAACUUAUCGGCCAAAAUCUGAGUCCAACUGAACGCAGGAAUAUCUUGAGCAAGGUCGCACCAAAGAUCAAGGAAUCGAUGACUUUAAAAGGGAACAUGAUGUUAGCAUAUCAACCACUGGGUGACUUGCCAAAUUUCUUCAGAAUUGCCAUAUCCAACCCAAGACUCAGCGAAUCCUCGCUAGACUGGGUUCUGGACGAAAUAGAACGGUUGUCAAAAGACAUCUUUUGUUGAAUAAUAAUGUCUGAAUCAAUUGUUAGACACAUGUAGACUCCUGUUAAAAUUGUCUGUCGGAACAUUAAACAUACAAACUAUAUUAAAUAUUGUGUAGUUUGUUAAUGUUAUGCGUUUGGCAAUUAUUUCUUGCAAUUAAGUUUUUUGAUAUCAUAGUAGAACAUUUAUGCUUGUAUUCAGUGCUGUGUUUUAAGAUACUCGAUUACUUAAACAAUAAAAUGAUUUCUUUGGUGAUUCAUGCCAUAGGAUACGAAGGUAGCGACAUCGUAGGGGAAAAAAAUAACCCGCGUCAAUUACGUUAGAUAAAAGAAGCAGCCAGAUCGUAUUCUAGGGGAGUUUGGUUCUGUCGUCAUCAUCAUGAUUAUUUCGUGCAUACCUUGAUUUUUCUUAGGUUGCUAAAGGUUUAGACCAAUUAAUAAACGGGGCGUGUAAAUUUCAGUCCUGCCAAUUUCUAAAGAGCAUGAAUCAAUUUCCGUAAGAAAUAGAGGAAAUCAUACUUGGUGGAUGUAAAUAAAGCAUUUUGAAAAUGAAUUUCAUAUAUUGAUUUCCCCGUUAAAUUCAUUUAAAUCAGCUGCCCAAACCACUUCAAUACAAUAAAUAAGAUAUAUACGUGACGAAGAAAAAUAUUUAGUUAUGUAUGGUGAAAAAAGAGUUUAUUGUACAUGUAAUUUCUUUGUUUAUUAACCUACAAAAUAUGUGCCAAAUCUUUGACAACUGUAUCAGGGCUUUGUUUGUUCAAGUUUUAUAAUUAUAUUCUUUUUGUGUAAGUUUCAAUGUGCUGAAGUGUCGUUAACUAAUGACCCCCUCUCCACCAAAAAAUGGUUUGGGGGAUUUUUGUUAGUUACUUAUUUUUUUGUUUGUUAUUAAUGUAUGAGCUUAUGAGUAAUGUAUAUUGUCUCAAUAAGAUAAGAUAUAUUAUGUACAGUAAUGUUGAUUUACUUAGAUAUGUUUUUUGUCAUUUUAUUCGUUUCUUGUCGACAAUAAAGUGAUAAACAUGUGUAAGAAAGGCAACCAUUAAUACUUAAUUACAUGUAAGAUCUUAAUAUUGUAAUAGGAAAGAGCGUAAUUAGACACUUUUUCCCUGUCUUAUUACUUUUGUUUGUUAAUUUUUAUCGUUUUCAAUAAAAAAUAUUGUGAUGAUAACAUUCUGAACAAAUGAAAACAUUGAAAU